rnacentral:rRNA from 1 species
AGCUCCAAUAGCGUAUAUUAAAGUUUUUUACCCGUGUGUUUUGCCAGAAUCUUACGGGUGAUCUUUACCGAUUGUCCGUUGGAACUGGCAGGUUUACUUUGAAAAAAUUAGAGUGCUCAAAGCAAGCUUACUGCUUGAAUAGUUGCGCAUGGAAUAAUAGAAUAGGAAGUCGUUUCUAUUUUGUUGGUUUUCGGAAAUCGACUUAAUGAUUAAUAGGGAUAGUCGGGGGCAUUCGUAUUCAAACGACAGAGGUGAAAUUCUUGGACCGUUUGAAGACGAACUAAGGCGAAAGCAUUUGCCAAGAAUGUUUUCA